rnacentral:sRNA from 1 species
GGGAUAUGGGUAUAUACUCGCCGUUUGGAUCUCCAACCAGGUGAGCCAGCUACGUUGCUUCCAUCGAGCAUAGACCGACAGUUCACAACUCUACUCAAUGGUACUCUCCGCCCAGGCCCAGCUCAGCUCAGGGUGGAUUAUGCUCCCCCUUCCCCCUCGCUCAAUCAGCCUUUCCUCUGCCUCCUCUAGCCGGAAGGAAAGGGCCACAUGGCGGCGAUUCUGCCAUUUACUCGGUUUAAUUUCACCUUCUUCUCUUGUCCCGCCCCUUUGAACGUUGCCGCGGGGACUUUGUCCACAGUUGGACUGCAUACAGACAGAC